GCGGGAGUCCCAUAGCCCGGUCAAUUGGACACGGUUCAGGGCCGUGUGGCUUAGUGCCUUCGCAGGUUCGAAUCCUGCCUCCCGCA
rnacentral:tRNA from 1 species